UACGUAGGGUGCGAGCGUUGUCCGGAAUUAUUGGGCGUAAAGGGCUCGUAGGCGGUUUGUCGCAUCGGGAGUGAAAUCCACUGGCUUAACUGGUGGCUUGCUUUCGAUACGGGCUGACUAGAGUUCGGUAGGGGAGACUGGAAUUCCUGGUGUAGCGGUGAAAUGCGCAGAUAUCAGGAGGAACACCGGUGGCGAAGGCGGGUCUCUGGGCCGAUACUGACGCUGAGGAGCGAGAGCGUGGGGAGCGAACAGG
rnacentral:rRNA from 1 species